AAAAAGGCAAACCUUGGGUUUCCGUGUCCAAUUUUGACUGUGCGUCUUAUAUGAAAUUUUUUUAUAAUUCGUAUUUUCAUUGUUGUUAGAUGAUAAAACAUGAUUAAUAUUUUAUGCGUGACUUGUCUUUUUAAUUUUUUCAUAUUUUUUUUAAAUAAGACGGACAGUCAAACGUUGGGCACGGAAACC
rnacentral:pre_miRNA from 1 species